GAUUUGUGUAAUAAGCUAGUGUAGUAAGUACUUAUGGCUUGGUGUCGAGCUAUAUGGCAAGAACAUGAACUUGAAGAAGAAGGUGAUAUUCCAUCAUGUUGGGUAGAUAGUGAGUUUGUGUAUUGGCCAUCAAAAAUGAAUGUUUUAUCUGCUGCAAAGGAACAUGCUAAGCCUGAUGCAACUUGGCAUAAGUUCAAAAUACUGAAAGUGAAGUGCUAUGAUGAUGAUAAGGAGUUAUGUAAAAGUUAUGAGUUUUCGUCGAAUGACGAAGUACAAGCACUUAAUAAGAAUGAACCCAUUAUAAAAGAGAAUAAAAUAAUGAAGUAUACUUUAAAAAAAGCAGCAAGUAGCACUACAACUCCAAAAUGUGAUGAAAAAGUUAAAAAUGAGUUAUACGAAAGUUUUAAACUUUCCUCAAAUAAUGAGAUAGAGUUUAAAAUUGAACAAUGAAAUAAAAAUAAUCAAAUUAUAAAUGCUUAUGCAAAGAAAGCUAGCAACACCUGUAAGAGAAAUAUUUUAUUCAUUCUUUCAACGUUAUUUAAUUUAAAAACUUGUGUUUCAGAAUGUUUUUUUUUAAAUAAGCUUAUUUAUUAUUAACAAUUUAAUUUUAUGCAAUUGCCUGAUAUAUUUUUUUAGUAACAACUUCUCUAUUUCAUCCAACUCCUCCAAAGUUUGAAAAUCCAUUAAUAGAUGUUCUUUCCCCCCCCAAAAAAAAAAAAAUUAAAAAAUAAAUAAAGAUAUUAAAGGAGCCGGUCCAAAAAUCUUCAAGUUUUUUAAAAGAUAAAUGUAAGUUUCUUUUUUUUCUGUUGCUGUACUGGACUAAAAAAAUUUUUAACAUUUAAUGCUUUUGUAUUUGUUUCUUUAUUCUCAAAUAAAAGUAUGUUAGUUUUGUUUAUUACUCCACAAAAUAGAUCGAAAAUCAACUCAGCAAGAAAAGAAGAAGGCUUCAGUUUUUCCUUUAGAAGGAAGCUUUCAAUAUAAAGUCAUUCAUUUACUGACUGAACUGAAAAAUGAUGUUGCUGAUAUAAAAGUCAUGUUAAAAAAUGAAAAUAGUUUUGAUCUUCAUCAAUGUAAUUCUAUCCAGGAGUUUCAUGACUUUGAUCAAUCACUUCUGGAUCAAGAUAUUGCAAAAAAUGUG
rnacentral:misc_RNA from 1 species